UUAGUCCCUUGUUAAACCCACCGAAUUAAUCGGUGGAUUGCGGGGGAUACUGCUUGGCUAGGGGACGAGAGAGGCAGACGGUAUUUUCGGGGUAGGGGUGAAAUCCUAUAAUCCCGGGAAGACCACCAGUGGCGAAGGCUGUCUGCUAGAACGCGCCCGACGGUGAGGGAUGAAAGCUGGGGGAGCGAACCGGAUUAGAUACCCGGGUAGUCCCAGCCGUAAACGAUGCAGGCUAGGUGUUUGGACGGCCACGUGCCGUUCUAGUGCCGCAGGGAAACUGUUAAGCCUGCCGCCUGGGGAGUACGAUCGCAAGAUUGAAACUUAAAGGAAUUGGCGGGGGAGCACCACAAGGGGUGAAGCUUGCGGUUUAAUUGGAGUCAACGCCGGAAAUCUCACCGGGAGCGACAGCAGUAUGAAGGCCAGAUUAAAGGUCUUGCUAGACGAGCUGAGAGGAGGUGCAUGGCCGUCGCCAGUUCGUGCCGUGAGGUGUCCUGUUAAGUCAGGCAACGAUCGAGACCCGCAUCCUCUGUUGCUACUAGCUUUGUGCUGGGCACACUGAGGAGACCGCCACUGAUAAAGUGGAGGAAGGAGCGGGCCACGGCAGGUCAGUAUGCCCCGAAUCUCCCGGGCCACACGCGAGCUGCAAUGGCAAGUACAAUGGGUUCCGACCUCGAAAGGGGAAGGUAAUCUCGAAAACUUGCCGUAGUUGGGAUUGAGGGUUGAACCCACCCUCAUGAACAUGGAUCCCUAGUAAUCGCGUGUCACUAGCGCGCGG
rnacentral:rRNA from 1 species